rnacentral:rRNA from 1 species
CAUUAAUUUAAAUUUUUUUUUAUUUAAGUAGUGUAUAAUAUUAUUAUAAAUAUUUUUAUUUGAAACUUAAAAACSUUGGCGNUGUUAUAUAUCCAUUUAGGGGAGCUUGUUUAUUAAAUUGAUAAUCCUCAAUUAACACUUACUUUUUCUUGAAUGUAAACAGUUUGUAUAUUGCUGUCGACAGUUUAUUUCGUAAGAUUAUAAAAAACAUAAUAAUGUAGUGUAUUUGUAAGUCAAGUCAAAAUGCAGCUAAUGAAAAAGGUUAAAAAUGAGCUACAAUUUAUAAUAUUUAAUUGAAUUAAAAGAUGUAAAAAUUUAUGAAUUUGGACUUAAUAGUAAUGUAAUAAUUAGUAUGUUUACAUGAAUUUUUUUUUUUGGUUUUAUAACGCGU